GGAAAAGACCGAAGAGACUCGGGUUGGUCUCUAGCCGCGGCCGGAAACGCUCGGGUGGUAGCCCUUGAAUACCGGAAAUUGCCGAAGGCGCUCGGCUCCCCACAAGCUUCGGAAAUAGCCGACGAGGUUCGGAUUGGUUGUAGCACGGAUCGGAUUGGACGACCAGGAGAAGGGGGCGGGGCGGGGCGGAGACCGACCCAGGCGAUACUGACGUGGGGCCCGGGUGUCUGAGCCGCCGGUUCCUCGCUCGCUCCAGCACGCGGCAGCCGGAGCCUUCGCUAUAGAGUGGGAAACGCUCAGGGAAGGUCCGAGACAGGCACCCGUGAUCAUCACCCGGCAUCCCCACAGCCCCUGCCCCCCUCCUAGCUAUACAUCCCUACAGCCCCUAUAUAUUCCUACAGUCCCUGCUCUCCUAGCAAUACAUCUCUACAGCCCUGCUAUCCUCCUAGCCAAACAUUCCUACAGCCCCUAUAUAUUCCUAGUCCCUGCUCUCCUCCUAGCAAUACAUCUCUACAGUCUCUGCUCUCCCCCUAGCUAUACAUCCCUACAGCCCCUGUGCAGUUUCUAGCUAUACAUCCCUACAGCCCCUGAACCCCUCCUAGCUAUACAUCCCUGCAGCCCCUGUAACUCGUGUAGUUAUACAUUCCUACAGCCCCAGUCUCCCCCAGCUAUACAUUCCUAUACAUCCCUGCAGCCCCAUACCCCUCCUAGCUGUACAUCCCUACAGCCCCAGUACAUCUAUAUAGCCCCUUUACCCCUCCCUUUUAACAUCCCUCCCUCCUAUACUUUGUCACAGCCCCUAUUCCCCACCUCUCUAUAGAUUGAUACAGCCCUCCUAUCUAUACACUGCUAAAGCCCCUGUACACUUCCCUUCCCUACAUCCCUGCAGCCCCUCUUCACCUCCCUCUCCUACAUCUCUACAGCCCCUCCAGUUUCUCCACAAACCAUAUUUGGUGCAGUAGUAGUGCAAGCUUCCAUCCACUGCCCACCAAUAUGUCCACAGUCCUGACCUUGAGGCCCUAUAUCUAUGGGAUAAUGACAGUUCAUUCUCCAUUCCUUCUGAAUGUUUGUCUUUAAUGCGGAGACUGACAACAAGAGUACCAAUUGUGGCAGUGAUUUUGACACGUGACUUUUGCCCACUGGGAGAUAGACUGAACCAUUUCUUUACUAGAACUUUCCGCUACAAAAGCAGAGAACAACAUGCAUCUGCUGGCCUUGUGAUCACCGAGCCUUGCUUCAUUACCCAGAGAUUUGAGAAGCUGGAGUGAAUGAUGCCAAAUGCCCCCAACCCUGGCCCCUUUUCAUUGGCUGGAGAUCCUCAGUGUGAAGAAUCUGUCUGAUCUAGCAAGUCAGGUCUUCACACGCAAGCCAGAAAAGUAGGUUCUCUUCGCUGUACUCUGUUCGAAGAAACUCUCUGAAAAGGUUCCUACCAGCUGGUGUUUUCAUCAUCUUGUCAAAAUUCUGAGCCCAAGACAUAAUUUCAUCUGCAG